AAGUCGUAACAAGGUCUCCGUUGGUGAACCAGCGGAGGGAUCAUUACUGAGUUUACAACUCCCUAACCCACUGUGAACCUAUACCAUGUUGCUUCGGCGUGCCGUCCCGGGCGCGGCUCCGGCCGUGACCCGGACCCAGGCGGCCGCCGGGGACCCAAACCUCUGUUUUUAUAGUGGACUUCUGAGUGGCAUAAGCAAAUAAUCAAAACUUUCAGCAACGGAUCUCUUGGCUCUG
rnacentral:misc_RNA from 1 species